AGAAGGCACAAAUGUUUAAAUGUUAUGCCUGUGAUGUUAGGAAGAUAUUCUGGUAGAGGCAGAUUUUAAGACUGAGCUGAGUCUUAAAGGUAGGAGUUAGCCAGGCAAAGAAAGGGGAGAAGGCAUUGUAGGCACAAGAGAAAGAAUGGAUAAAUGCUCAGCUGUGCAAAAUAGCCCCUACAAGCAGCUCAGUUGUAGCAAUUCAGAGUGUGAAGUAUGCAGCAGCAGAAAUGAGUCUAGAACUGUAGGUACAUUUCAGAAGGUCCAGUGUGUCACACUAAUCACUCUGAGCUUUAUCCUAUAGGUCUGUGUUCCUGAAGCUUCAGUUAUUUGCCUAUCAUUUUCAUGGUUUUGUCAAACUUAUGUUCCACCUGAA
rnacentral:lncRNA from 1 species